rfam:Staphylococcus cohnii subsp. cohnii strain 073AN genome assembly, contig: ERS576551SCcontig000001
CUCUUAUUUAGAGAGGUGGAGGGAUGUGCCCGAUGAAACCCGGCAACCAUCGUUAAACGAAAUGGUGCUAAUUCACAGAAAGUAAUCUUGAUUACUUUCAAAGAUAAGAG